rnacentral:tRNA from 1 species
AGUAAUAUAGGCUAAUUAAGCCCCUGGGCCCAUACCCCAGAUAUGUGGGUUAAAAUCCUUCUUUUACUA